GUAUAAUCAAACAUCUUGGCUCCUCCUGAAACCCACUCCCACCCAUUUCAGUCAUUAAAGAUCUUAAGUAGUUUAGACACACGCCUUUGCUCAAGGAAAUUCACAGAAACCGCCACUGUUACACAUCUUAUCGAAUGACUCACUGAUUAAUCCUUUUCCUCAUCCCUUCCUCCCCUUCCCAUCUGCCCUAAGAACAAAGAGCUUGUAAACCAAUAAAUUGGGUGGAGCCCAGAGCUCUGGGCCGUGAGCAAGCCUCCAACGCUCUGGUCCCCUGGACCUGCCUUUUAAACGCUUGUUCUGUCUCUUUCUAACUCCUUUGUCUCCGCCGGACUCGGGGUAUCCGCUGGGUGGUGUGGGGCUGGUUUCCCCAACAGCUUUCUCUCCACCCAGCUUCAUAGAUGACACCCUGCCUGCUAGGCCAGAUGUUCUCCGGCCAAGAACACUAUUAUAGCUGCCUGGCUUCUCCCUGAGCAGCGUCAGGUGUGAGGAGUGCGCAUGGCAGCUGCCCAGUGACAGAUGGAAUCUCCCUCUCUCACCCAGGCUGGAGUGCAAUGGCACAAUCAGCUCACUGCAACCUCCACCUCCCGGGUUCAAGUGAUUCUUCUGCCUCAGCCUCCCGAGUAGCUGGGACUACAGCCUUCAUUUCAGUCAACAACCACAUAACAGAUCAUCAAAAUACAUAAAGCAAAAACUGACAGAACUAAAGUUAAAUAUACAUAUCUACAAUUAUGUAGAGAAUAACAAACAAAAAAAUAGAACAAAAAUGUUCCACGCCUUGGUCAAUGGUACCACCAGCCAGCGAGGUUCCCAAGCCAAGAACUUCGGAAGCAUCCGUGAUUCUUCAUCUUCCACAUCCACUUUAUCACCGGAAGCACGCAUUCAACUUUCUAAACAUCCCUCAGACUGACCCACAUCUUUCUAUCCACUUUUCACAUCUUGCUUGAAUGACUUCCCCAGGCCCAGCCAGUCUCCCGCCUCCAGCUCCGCCCCCUUCUGACUCCCUUUAUGUGGUACAAUCAGAGAGCCCUUCCCAAAGCACAAAUCUGCUUUCACUGCUUUGCUUCAAGCCCUUUCGUGGCUCCUAUUUCCAGCUGGAUGAGGUCCAAGCCUCUUAACGUGCUGUACGUGUACAUGCCUGACCCCCGCUACUUGACCAGCCAAGUUUCUUCAUAGCGCUGUGUCUUUGUUCCUCCUGCCUAGAAUGUCCUUCCCCUUUUCUCUCGCUUCAUGGUGUGCCAAACUCCUAUCCUGUGAGAUCCAGCUUACACGUCAGCUUCCCCGUGAUGCUUUUCCUAACUCCCUAUUCAGCCAGUGAAGUGCUCCCUGCGUUCCCAUGUGGCUUGUAUCUCUGUAAAAGCUCCACAGAGCUGUUUUAAUUUAUCCGUUAAUGUACAUGUCUUCCCCACUAGACUUUUGCUCCUUAAAGUAUCUCCUUCAUCUCUGCUUUGCAUAACCUAACAGAGUUCAACACAUAGGAGUGUCUUAAUAAAUGCUGAAUAAAAUAAUUAAUAAACAAAUGAAACAAUACAGCAAACUGUUGAUUCUCCAAAAUGUUUUCUUGAAGAAAAUGUGUUCUUCCUUUCUGAGCCCAAUUCUAUGACUUCUCAUUUCAUCCAAGAUCUUGAUCCAUCAGGUACCAAGGUAGACUUUAGGUAUACAACACUGGACAUUAAAAACACUAUAAAGCUACAAUAAUUAAAAUAGAAUUCAACUUGACACAAAGUAGUCUGUGAAACAGUAGAGCUCCAAACCAGACCUAAAUAGUGACAAAAUUAGGUACAUAACAAUAGCCAACAUAUAUGUGGCAUUUAGUCAUGUUUCAGGCAUGCUUCAAAGUGCUCUAGAUACAUUAUUUCAUUCAAUUCUCACGACCAUCGUGUGAGUAGACACUAUUAAAACCAUUUUACAGAUAAGCAAACUGAGGCACAGAGGGGUUAAGAAAAACUUGCCCAAGAUCACCAAUCCAGCAGUUGUUGAAGUUAGGAUUUAAAACCAGGCAGGCUGGUUCCAGAAUUCAUGCAUUUAACCUUUCUCCUAUGACAUAGAUGGUAUCAUGCAUUAUUGACUAAAGAAAAGGUUAUUUGGUAAGCAACAGAAAAAGGAAAGGAAAUCACAGAUUCACUAUAUACUCUGUCCUGAAAUAAAAUUCAGAUGUUUUAGAGUUAAACAUUUAAAAAAAAGAAAAUAUGAGUAAGUAUUAACUUGAUAUUGGAAAAGAG
rnacentral:lncRNA from 1 species